GAUGAACGCUGGCGGCGCGCCUAACACAUGCAAGUCGAACGGAGUUAUUUCAGCAGAAGCUUUCGGGUGGACGCAGGGAUAACUUAGUGGCGAACGGGUGAGUAACACGUGAGGAACCUGCCCCAUACAGGGGGAUAACAGUUAGAAAUGACUGCUAAUACCGCAUAAGACCACAGCACCGCAUGGUGCAGGGGUAAAAACUCCGGUGGUAUGAGAUGGAUCCGCGUCUGAUUAGCUAGUUGGUAAGGUAAUGGCUUACCAAGGCAACGAUCAGUAGCCGACCUGAGAGGGUGACCGGCCACAUUGGGACUGAGACACGGCCCAA
rnacentral:rRNA from 1 species